rnacentral:tRNA from 2 species
GCCCCCGUAGCCCAACAGGCAGAGGCAGACUCCCUAAAAGAGUUGUUCGUGUCGGUUCGACUCCGACCGGGGGCA